GAGAGAGCACUGAACCAUGUUGUCAUGCUGCACUGUUCGCCGCUCCCAUGGUGCAACACUGCAGCGAGUUGCAAACAAAGUUCAUUCGGCUGACGACAUCUGCCUCUAAAACCCUUACAAGACGAUGCCAGCAGCUUCAGGACUUAUGUAUGAAGUGCUGGAUGGGCAGUGGCUAGUGUGGCUCCAGCAUGUGUUGAUUGACAGCUACCACGUUCUGGGAACACGAGAAGUUCAAAUCCAGCUUUAUCGUCUCUUGUUCAAAAAGAAGAUCACGAUGACAGGACAGAGUUUGGAGCAGUAGAUCCUUCAAGAUCAAACCUGAACACUUCAAGAGGAUCACCCCUCUCAGCUAUGGGACACAGGCCUGCGAUGAGUUGUAACUGCUCCUUUGACCAAACCAGUGCUCAAUUCACCCUGAAGAAGAUCAUAUCUCUGGACCCUGGUCAAGUCCCCUGAAUGAGGAGAUCGCCACAGAUCAGGUUCAGUUUCUCCCUAUAGAAUGACAGUCAGUGUGCUUGUCCUGCUUAUGAUCAUUCACAUUUCCUCUGAAAACAGUGCACAGAGACAGCUGCUCUCAUGCAGAUUAGUGCAGACGCAGGCUGUUUAGCCCACUUUCCUGUUUUUAGGUUUUCGUCUGUGAUUAUUUGAAGCUUGUGUUUCCCUGCUGGCUUACUCGCCUUUCCGCUCAUACAUUUUCUCCCUUCACCUCUCUCCAUUUGUCUUCAUCCCUCUCCUCACCCCUCUCAAAAGGUCACCAGCAUCAGUGUUUGAAUUCUCUGUCGCAAAGUCAUUCAUUUGACCUUGCCAUCUGUCAGUACAGUGCUGUUCUCCUGGGUCAGCCACAUGAAACUCAUGUUAUGGUUCCUGAGGUCAAAGGGCAAAAUGGAUAUCCUUUCAAAUUCUAUUUACCCUAAAACCCAGGAGUUUGUUUGCAUAUAUGUGUAUGUGGGUCCUGUACCUCUAGCAUGUGCCAUUAGAGCCAUAUUGGGGUAUCAAAGCUGCAGUGCUGCUAGGAAUGAUGAAUGGCUGCCAGGUCCUGAGGUCCAUGCGGUAAUCACCUCAGGUAAGGGCUUUAAGCCGUGUUGGCGGGAGAACAGAAAGGGUUAAGUGGCUAUGGCGGCUCAUGGCUGUAGCCUCAUAGCCUUCCAUAGCCUCUGGCAGCUUAUUUCCCAACAUCUCCAAAGACCCAUAUGGAUGAGGCUCAGAGCUUAGACAGCAAACGGCGAGGGAUAUGGAGACAAUGCCUAAUUUCCUCCAGACCAGAAGUGGGAGCGGUGAGGAGAGAGGGACUGGGUUUGCUGGCGCCUUGGCUCCCUCCCUCCUCACUCUCAGGCUGGCUUUCCAGGGGCAGCAGAGCCAACCCAUGGAGCAGCCUGUCAGCCUAUGUCAACAUCAGUGCUGCCCCUUGCCCCUCUCCACUUCCCCCGUCCUGCAGCCCAGCACUCACAGAGGUUACACGAGCCCAGAUUUAGUGUAUGAAUAACCUAGGGCCUGGGGAGGUGUCAAAGGUGUCUGAAUCAGACCUCCCAGCAGCCCCACUCACCCCCACUAAUCUCACCACAGUUCACCGACAAGUCAUGUUUUGUAGAGGGAGUGGAGAGAGAGAGGAGAGAGAACACAUAAAAGACACUGUUACAUGCUGUCAUCAUCACGCCUGUUUCUAAAAGGCUUUUGGUCUCUAAUGUGAGCAACUGCAGCACUCAAUAGCCGCCGAGAUCAAUGGUAUCCUGUCUAGUGCUGCCUCGUAUCAUCACAAAAUGUUACUGUUGGUCUGAUGGAAAGGAAAAAUAAAAGAAAACUCUGAAUCGCUCCCCAUUCCU